GAACGCCGUAUGAGGUGAAAGUCUCACGUACGGUGUGGAGUGGGGGAAAAGUGGGAGAUAGUAUCAAACACUUACCUAUCACUAU
rfam:Tissierella creatinophila DSM 6911 TICR_contig000006, whole genome shotgun sequence.